rnacentral:rRNA from 1 species
GACGAACGCUGGCGGCGUGCUUAACACAUGCAAGUCGAACGGUGAAGCGCUUGCCUUUUUGGUGGGUGUGGAUGAGUGGCGAACGGGUGAGUAACACGUGAGUAACCUGCCCUCUUCUUCUGGAUAACCUCAUGAAAGUGGGGCUAAUACGGGGUAUUCCGGGUCUGUCGCAUGGCGGGUUUGGGAAAGAUUGCGCCUUUGGGUGUUUUCGGUGGGGGAUGGGCUCGCGGCCUAUCAGCUUGUUGGUGGGGUGAUGGCCUACCAAGGCGGUGACGGGUAGCCGGCCUGAGAGGGUGGACGGCCACACUGGGACUGAGACACGGCCCAGACUCCUGCGGGGGGCAGCAGUGGGGAAUAUUGCACAAUGGGCGCAAGCCUGAUGCAGCGACGCCGCGUGAGGGAUGGAGGCCUUCGGGUUGGGAACCUCUUUCGCCAGUGAAGCAGGCCUGCUCCUGUGUGGGUGGGUUGACGGUAGCUGGAUAAGAAGCGCCGGCUAACUACGUG